rnacentral:lncRNA from 1 species
UAAAAAUACAAAAAUUGGCUGGACGUGGUAGCAUACAACUGUAAUCCCAGCUACUCAGGAGGCUGAGGCAGGAUAAUCACUUGAACCCUGGAAAUGGAGGGUGCAGUGAUUUGAGAUUGCACCACUGCACUCCAGCCUGGGUGAGAAAGUGAGACUCAGUCUCAAAAAAAAAAAAAGUCAUGAAGAAACAUUUCACCAAAGAGUAUACAGGUUGGAAAUAACCACAAAUAACCACAUGAGAUGUUCAACAUCAUUAGGCAAUGGGGAAUACAAAUUAAAACCACAAUGAGACAUCACUAGAUAUCUAACUGAAUGGCUAAAGUGAAAAAAAAUAGAGACACCACCCAGUGUUGACCAUGACACAGAGAAACUGGAUUACGCACAAAUUGGUAAUGAGAGUAUAAAAAGCAAUAUACAACCACUCUGGGAAAUAUUUAGGCAGUUUCUUAAAAUAAAAGUAAACAUGCAACUACCAUACUCCUGGAUGUUUAUCCCAAAGAAAUGAAGACUUCUGUUGACACAAAAACUUAUACAUGAAUUUUCAUAGCAGCCGUAGCCAUAAUAGUCAAUAAAUAGAAACAACACAGAUGUGAAAGACAUCUGCAAAUGAUUGUUUAAACAAACUGUGGUACAUCCAUAUCAUGAAACACUCCUAAGCAAUAGAAAGGAACAAACUAUUAAUACAUAUGGCAAUCUGAAGGAAUUUCCAAAGAAUUCUGUUGAGUCAAAAAAGGCAACCUCAUUAUGGAACAUUCUUGAAAAACAUUAUGGAAGUGGAUUAGUGGUUGCCAGGAGUUAAGAGAGGGUCAUUAGAAGGAAGUGAGUGUGUCUAUACAAAGGCAUGAUGGAUCCCUGGGGUGAUGCAAAGACUCUGUAUUCUGCCUGUACCAAUGUCAAUACCCUGGUUGUGCUAUGUACUACAGUUACACGGAAUGUUAUCAUUAGAGAAAACUGAGUAAAGGGAAUCUCUUUAUUAGUUCUUGCAACUGCAUGUCACUCUAUAAUAAUCCCAAAAUAAAAAGUUUAAAACAGCAAAAAGAUAUGGUCAAUUUGAUGUGUAAUGCAUGUAAUGUGAUGAUUACUGAAAGAACCUUGCCUGGAGGGGACGAGGCAUGGAUAUAAAUUCCUUCUGUGUCUACAAAAAGCCAUGCUAUCUUAAGCAGACCCCUGGCUUUUUGGGGUCUCAGUUUUCUCAUCUGUUAAGUGAGAUAUUUGAGCUAAAUCAUCUGUAAAUGCUUUUCUAUUUAAUGUAGAACGUGCAGAUGGGACAGAGAAUCACUGGUGGAGACUGAUCCCAAAGUGGCCAGAGUGCAAGGUGCUUUAUGGCACUGCACCAGUUCCCUAUGAAACCAUACACAUCUCAUUGAGUAAGGAAGGAAGCUGCCUGUGACUGAGACUCUGAAAUGGACCAGGGAGGAAACUGAGUCUUGAAGAGAUUGUGUAACUUUGCAGUGAGUGCAAACCGUAGUAAUUACAAAGUGUGAAUUAAAAACCCAAAAUGCUGCCUGCUAGCAGAGUGGUAAAUUAUUUAACCUCUGUAAGCCUCUGUUUCCUUACUUGCAAAACAAAUAAAACAGUUCCUGUUUUUCUGUGAAGAGUAGUUAGGAUUACGCAUGUGAAGCCUUAACAUAAAAUUUACUACAUGAUGAAUAUUCAAAAAUUUUUUGAGAUCAUCAUCAUUGUCAUCAUCAUCACCAGAGUUUCAGUCUGGACGUUCUGUUUUCAAAGUUCACAUUCUGGACUUUCAGUCCUGGCAGUUGCUGCAUUCUCCCUGGGCAACUCCAUGAAGCCCUUUCUGAUAAGAUGGGAAAGGAGAAGGUAGAAAAGAAAGCCCAGCUCUAGCUAUAUCAGUUCUCAGCAGUUGUUUUAACUCACCUCAGAGAUGACGUAAUCCUAGUAAUCAGCAGUUUUGCAUACCUUCUCCCAUACCUCCUUCACCUACAUCCCUGACUCUCAGUCAUCCCCCACCACAGACAAAUCUGCUUAUUUCAUAGAUGGGAAAACAGGACAGGUGGAGUGGAGAGCUUGAUCCAGGUUACACAGCUAGUCAGAAAUGAAACCCAGGACUGGAGCCCCAGCCUUCCAUUUCAUUUCCAUGUUCCCUC